rnacentral:lncRNA from 1 species
GCGGCAGGGCCUAGACGCCUAGUACGUAAUUAUAGCCUAUAAUUACGAAGCCGGGGUCUGAAAAUUUUUGAACAGUCAGACUUCUCCUACAUUGAUGGCGACUCUCUCUCCUCAGAUCUCGGCGGUCUGCCUCCGACGACGGCUGUGUGAGUGUGGCGUCCUUAAUCUCGGUGAAACGACGUCACUCUACGGACCGAAGAGUGGUACAGAGCGACGUCGUUUCACCAUAGACUAUGGUGAUAGCGCCGGCGGCGAAGAUCCGAUCGGCUUCGAGACCCUGAAUUCCG